rnacentral:lncRNA from 1 species
AAAGAAGGGAGCGGGGAGGAAGGGAGAGAGAGUGUUCCCUGCGUCAACAAUUUAUUCAUUCCACAAACAUUUCUAAGUGUCCAUGGUGACCCAGACAUCAUGGGAACUUCAGGGUUCCAGAGCUGAGUAGAACACAACUCCCAUCCUUAGGGAUUCACCAUCCAGUAGAGGAGAAAGACGUCAAGACAGAAGACAGAAGGGAAAGGAAAAGCUCAAUGCUGUGCCUUCAACUUAGCUUCUCCAUUUUUUGGAGAAGGGUUAAUAGGGGAAGCAGAGAGAGAGAUGAGAGACCAGAGUUUCUAGGGCCUUUAUCUCCAGAGCAGAGGGUCUCAAACCUUAGUGAGCAAAGACUGAUCCAGAAGACUUGUUGGAGGCAUAGCUUCCAGUUCAGCGAGCCAUUUCAGCAGAUUGGAGAUCCCCUGCCUGCAGCACGUGCUGAUCUCCAAGGGUGAGGCUGGAUGAAGCCAGGGGCUAUGGAAAAGGAGACUGUUUCAGAGGACUUGACACCAUCUUCAGUAAUUUCUCUGGUUCUUGGCAGCUCCAUUUGGCUGCGUCCCUACCCUGCAUAACCCUCCCAGCUAGUCUACUCCAGGGCAGCGUCCAGCUGGUGACCUGAGAGGGCAGCGGCGCACCAGUCUCCAUGAAGGUUGAGCUCCGAUGGCCAAUAGCAAUUUCCACCUUGUGGUCUACAACUCUUCAUCCCGACUGCAUGGAGGUUGGUCUCUCUGUUCAGCUGGAUUUAGGCCACCAUCUGAGCCCCCGGGGUACGUUUUGUCUGACCCUGGCACCAUUCGGUUCUUCUACAGCAUCAGUUCUCUUUCCUGCCACCAUGUG